UUUUGCUAAGGAUGUAUUUUAGGUUUGACUCUGCCGCUAUUGAAUGGGAUGCCUAAAACCAGCUUUUUUGCCUCUUUGGAUUUCAGGAUGCUCCUGUUGUAUGAUUUGAUGAAUCUUGGAAUUCAAGUAUUUGUGUAGCACUGGGUCUAGAGAGAGGCUGACAUUCAGUGAAGUACCAGGUUCAAAUAAUUAGAAGAUUUUAAUUCAGAACAGUGAUUCCACCUCUCUUGGAACAGUCAUAUCUGCUGAGAAGUUUAAGGAAGGAACCUUGAGAAAGCAUCAGAGGUGGCUUUGGAGGUGGAAUCUGAAGAAACUAGAGGAGAGAAGAAAGGAAGAAUGGAUUACAAAAGAUGAGCAAGAUGCCUGGAAUUUCACACGUACAUCAUCUCUUUGGGUCACAGAGAAAGCCAUGCUUGAUUAACACUGAGGAUUGCGUACGACCUAUGGCUGGUGUCCAAUGACUUCUCCCAUUUUCAGAACACUUCUGUAAUGUUGCCGUCAGUGGUGAAUAUAUGACAUCCAAGGAAAGGUGAGGCCCUGACACUAAGAGGAAUACAAUGACCAGUCCAAGAGGACAACCCAGAACUGGACUUCUGGGGCCUGACUGAACUGGAUUGAGGUAUCGGACACACUUUUACAGAGG
rnacentral:lncRNA from 1 species